rnacentral:rRNA from 1 species
GAUGAACGCUGGCGGCGUGCCUAAUACAUGCAAGUCGAGCGAACGGACGAGAAGCUUGCUUUUCUGAUGUUAGCGGCGGACGGGUGAGUAACACGUGGAUAACCUACCUAUAAGACUGGGAUAACUUCGGGAAACCGGAGCUAAUACCGGAUAAUAUUUUGAACCGCAUGGUUCAAAAGUGAAAGACGGUCUUGCUGUCACUUAUAGAUGGAUCCGCGCUGCAUUAGCUAGUUGGUAAGGUAACGGCUUACCAAGGCAACGAUGCAUAGCCGACCUGAGAGGGUGAUCGGCCACACUGGAACUGAGACACGGUCCAGACUCCUACGGGAGGCAGCGGUAGGGAAUCUUCCGCAAUGGGCGAAAGCCUGACGGAGCAACGCCGCGUGAGUGAUGAAGGUCUUCGGAUCGUAAAACUCUGUUAUUAGGGAAGAACAUAUGUGUAAGUAACUGUGCACAUCUUGACGGUACCUAAUCAGAAAGCCACGGCUAACUACGUG